UACGAAGGGGGCUAGCGUUGUUCGGAAUUACUGGGCGUAAAGCGCACGUAGGCGGCUUGGUAAGUUGGGGGUGAAAUCCCGGGGCUCAACCUCGGAAUUGCCUUCAAAACUGCCAAGCUUGAGUUCGAGAGAGGUGAGUGGAAUUCCCAGUGUAGAGGUGAAAUUCGUAGAGAUUGGGAAGAACACCAGUGGCGAAGGCGGCUCACUGGCUCGAUACUGACGCUGAGGUGCGAAAGCGUGGGGAGCAAACAGG
rnacentral:rRNA from 1 species